rnacentral:lncRNA from 1 species
CAGGCUCGGGUGGCUUUUCGUUUUCGGCGUGCGAGUUCUGGGAACCGCAUGACCAUAUCCACAUUUCGUUGGGUUUAGGGUCGUGGUGGUGUCCGGCGCUGUAGGAGCUAGAGCUUGCGGGUGGGAACCGGAUGUAUGUUCUGACAUGGCCAACGGCCAAUCUUGCAUUGGCACCCACUUAUCCUAUCAGAUCGUAUAUUUGGUACGCUUUCUCCGACCGGAAAUCUGGUGAUCGGCAGCGCCAGAUCAAGACAGACGAGUGCGGACUGCCCCCAUGUGAUAGGAGGUAGGAGCAGGUGGGCGGGAACAAGAGCUGCGGCAGUUGGCUGGUGUUUGGAGAUCUGGGUAUCUGAUAUUGUUUUUAUCAGCUAAUUAAUUAUGAUAUCAUACCACUUCAAUUUAUUUCUUCUCCCAUAUUAUUUACGCAGAAUGUCAUACUACUUU